AGACGGUAUGACAGGUGCUGCAUGGCUGUCGUCAGCUCGUGCCGUGAGGUGUUGGGUUAAGUCCGCAACGAGCGCAACCCCUAUCUUUACGUUGCCAUCAGUUCGGCUGGGCACUCUAGUGGAGACUGCCACCUAAAGUGGAGGAAGGUGGGGAUGACGUCAAGUCAGCAUGGCCCUUACGGCCUGGGCUACACACGUGCUACAAUGGUCGGUACAAAGGGUUGCCAAGCCGCGAGGUGGAGCUAAUCCCAUAAAACCGAUCGUAGUCCGGAUCGCAGUCUGCAACUCGACUGCGUGAAGUCGGAAUCGCUAGUAAUCGUGAAAUCAGAAUGUCACGGUGAAUACGUUCCCGGGCCUU
rnacentral:rRNA from 1 species